AGAGCGAACGCUGGCGGCAGGCUUAACACAUGCAAGUCGAGCGGGCGUAGCAAUACGUCACCGGCGGACGGGUGCGUAACGCGUGGGAAUGUACCUAUUGGUUCGGAACAACUGAGGGAAACUUCAGCUAAUACCGGAUGAGCCCGAAAGGGGAAAGAUUUCUCGCCAAUAGAUCAGCCCGCGUCCGAUUAGCUAGUUGGUGGGGUUAAAGCCUACCAAGGCGACGAUCGGUAGCUGUUCUGAGAGGAAGAUCAGCCACACUGGGACUGAGACACGGCCCAGACUCCUACGGGAGGCAGCAGUUGGGAAUCUUGGACAUGGGGGAACCCUGAUCCAGCCAUGCCGCGUGAGUGAUGAAGGCCUUCGGGUUGUAAAACUCUUUCGGACGGGACGAUAAUGACGGUACCCGUAGAAGAGCUCCGGCUAACUUCGCGCCAGCAGCCGC
rnacentral:rRNA from 1 species